rnacentral:rRNA from 1 species
AUCUACAGGCUUAACACAUGCAAGUCGAGGGGCAGCAUUUCAGUUUGCUUGCAAACUGGAGAUGGCGACCGGCGCACGGGUGAGUAACACGUAUCCAACCUGCCGAUAACUCGGGGAUAGCCUUUCGAAAGAAAGAUUAAUACCCGAUGGUAUAAUCAGACCGCAUGGUCUUGUUAUUAAAGAAUUUCGGUUAUCGAUGGGGAUGCGUUCCAUUAGGCAGUUGGUGAGGUAACGGCUCACCAAACCUUCGAUGGAUAGGGGUUCUGAGAGGAAGGUCCCCCACAUUGGAACUGAGACACGGUCCAAACUCCUACGGGAGGCGGCAGUGAGGAAUAUUGGUCAAUGGGCGCAGGCCUGAACCAGCCAAGUAGCGUGAAGGAUGACUGCCCUAUGGGUUGUAAACUUCUUUUAUAUGGGAAUAAAGUUUUCCACGUGUGGAAUUUUGUAUGUACCAUAUGAAUAAGGAUCGGCUAACUCCGUGCCAGCAGCCGCGGUAAUACGGAGGAUCCGAGCGUUAUCCGGAUUUAUUGGGUUUAAAGGGAGCGUAGGUGGACAGUUAAGUCAGUUGUGAAAGUUUGCGGCUCAACCGUAAAAUUGCAGUUGAUACUGGCUGUCUUGAGUACAGUAGAGGUGGGCGGAAUUCGUGGUGUAGCGGUGAAAUGCUUAGAUAUCACGAAGAACUCCGAUUGCGAAGGCAGCUCACUGGACUGCAACUGACACUGAUGCUCGAAAGUGUGGGUAUCAAACAGGAUUAGAUACCCUGGUAGUCCACACAGUAAACGAUGAAUACUCGCUGUUUGCGAUAUACAGUAAGCGGCCAAGCGAAAGCAUUAAGUAUUCCACCUGGGGAGUACGCCGGCAACGGUGAAACUCAAAGGAAUUGACGGGGGCCCGCACAAGCGGAGGAACAUGUGGUUUAAUUCGAUGAUACGCGAGGAACCUUACCCGGGCUUAAAUUGCAUUUGAAUAUAUUGGAAACAGUAUAGCCGUAAGGCAAAUGUGAAGGUGCUGCAUGGUUGUCGUCAGCUCGUGCCGUGAGGUGUCGGCUUAAGUGCCAUAACGAGCGCAACCCUUAUCUUUAGUUACUAACAGGUCAUGCUGAGGACUCUAGAGAGACUGCCGUCGUAAGAUGUGAGGAAGGUGGGGAUGACGUCAAAUCAGCACGGCCCUUACGUCCGGGGCUACACACGUGUUACAAUGGGGGGUACAGAAGGCAGCUACCUGGUGACAGGAUGCUAAUCCCAAAAGCCUCUCUCAGUUCGGAUCGAAGUCAGCAACCCGACUUCGUGAAGCUGGAUUCGCUAGUAAUCGCGCAUCAGCCAUGGCGCGGUGAAUACGUUCCCGGGCCUUGUACACACCGCCCGUCAAGCCAUGAAAGCCGGGGGUACCUGAAGUACGUAACCGCAAGGAGCGUCCUAGGGUAAAACUGGUAAUUGGGGCUAAGU